UGGCGUACGGGUGAGUAACACGUGGGUAAUCUACCUCUUAGUGAGGAAUAACCCUGGGAAACCGGGGCUAAUACCGCAUAAGCCUGAGAAGGGAAAGCAGAAAUGCGCUGAGAGAGGAGCCCGCGGCCGAUUAGCUAGUUGGUGAGGUAAGAGCUCACCAAGGCAUAGAUCGGUAGCCGGCCUGAGAGGGCACACGGCCACACUGGCACUGAAACACGGGCCAG
rnacentral:rRNA from 1 species